AGGAGAAGUUGAGUCAGCUGAAAGCCACUGUCAGAAACACUGAAGAAGAUGAUGAUAUCUAUGAUAAAAUCAGCAUCGUUCAUCACACGCCAAGUGCCGUGGCGAAAGAAAGCAAGAAGAACAGCCAAUCAGAGAAGGCAGAUUUUUACAGCAAGCCCCUUAAAGGACAUCAUACUAAUUUCAAACAGACAGAAAAACGGUGAAGGUAUGGCCCCAACUGCAUUUUUCUCUGACUGUAAAAACAAGUAUUUUCUGCAAUUACAGGCCC